GUAGUCUGUGAUGUAGUUCUCAACUGGCCCAGAUUCUUUUCAGAACAUGAGGGCAACUUUAGUCACUACCUCUUCUGAGAUGC